CAGGCCUUGCAGCCAAAGGUGUUGUCCAUAUAAACACCAAGGUGCCUAUAGGAGCAAAGCCAAUUGAUUGGUUCAUCAUUUAUGACCUCUGAUACCCUCUGACCCAUGUCACGACCCUUUCCUCGAGAAACUAUACAUCUGUC